ensembl:lncRNA
GUGGGUGGCAGGGCCUGCCGCCCUGAGGCUGCCUUUCCCCGCGUUCCCUCGUUGAUUGGCUCAUUCUUCCUUUCAUCCAUCCAUCCUUUGCAAAUAUUAUUAUAUUUGAUGGGAAGUCUGCCAAGGGCCCCUAAAGACCAGAUCCAUCAUGGCUGGGACAUCUGCAUCACGUGUGAAUGGGUAGGAUUUGGAGUGGUUGGUGAACCCACCACUCUAGAGUCUGAAGCUUACAGGUGUAAAACAAAAAGGAAGGAAGGAAGACUGGUGGAAUAAAUAAACCAAAGGAACUAAAUUUUGUUCAGACAUCCACUCUUCACCUUCCCAGCCCCUGUUUGCCUGUAACUACAAAGCAGGUGACUAGAUAACCCCAUCCCCUUUGCCAAGGGUUAGUUUAUACUCACUUUAGGUAAUCACAGUCAUUCCUCUUCCAUCUCCAAUGAUUAGAUUAGGAAUAGAUCAUGUCACUCGAUUUAGAACAGUCUUAAAAGGAAGUCUGCUGAGAGAUCUCUAGGAAAGGUUUCCUCUUAAAAGGGAGAAUUCAAGAAAGAAAUGGCAAUCAAUGUUAAAAACAUUAGGCUAGGCAGGCCAGGUUCAGUGGCUCACGCCUGUUACCCCAGCACUUUGGGAGGCCGAGGUGGGAGGAUCAUCUGAGGCCAGGAGUUCGAGGCCAGCCUGGCCAACAUGGUGAAACCCCAUUUCUACUGAAAAUACAAAAAUUAGCUGGGCACGGUGGUGCAUGCCUGUAAUCCCAGCCACCUGGAGGCUGAGGCAGAAGAAUCACUGGAACCCGGGAGGCGGAAGCUACAGCAAGUCAAGGUCACGCCACUGCACUCCAGCCUGGGUGACAGAGUGAGACUCCAUCUCAAAAAAAAAAAAAAAAGAAAAA